rnacentral:tRNA from 1 species
GGGGGUAUAGCUCAGCGGUAGAGCAGUGGCCUUUUAAGCCAUUGGUCGCAGGUUCAAAUCCUGCUGCCCCCACCA